rnacentral:misc_RNA from 1 species
UACGGGAGGCAGCAUGGGGAAAUAUUGGACAAUGGGCGAAAGCUCGAUCCAGCACGUCGCGUGAGUGAUGAAGGCCUUAGGGUUGUGUUUUACCUGGAUGAUAAUGACAGUACCGGGAGAAUAAGCCCGCCACUGCGCCGCGGUAAUACGGAGGAGCUGGCGUUGCUCGGAAUUACUGGCGUAAGCACGUAGGCGGCUUUGUAAGUUGGGAGAAAAGCCUUGAGCUCAACUCAGAACUGCCUUUAAGACUGCAUCGCUUGAAUCCAGAGAGGUGAGAGUGGAAUUCCGAGUGUAGAGGUGAAAUUCGUAGAUAUUCGAAGAACACCAGCAUGAAGGGUGGUCACUGGACUGGUAUUGACGCUGAGGUGCGAAAGCGUGGGGAGCAAACAGGGAUGAUACCCCGUAGUCCGAGGGUUCUGUCGCUAUCACGUAACUGAACCAGCGUUACCGUUGCCUGAUUGAACGCUGGCGGGAUGUUUUACACAUGCAAGUCGAACGGCAGCACGGACUUCGGUCUGGUGGCGAGUGGCGAACGGGUGAGUAAUGUAUCGGAACGUGCCGUAGUAGCGGGGACAAUCACGCGAAAGUGUAGCUACUAUCAAAGGUACGCUCCCUUCGGGGAAAGCGGGGGACCUCGGGCCUCGCAAUCAUUAGAGCGGCCGAUAUCGGAUUAGCUAGUUGGUGGGGUAACGGCUCACCAAGGCGACGAUCCGUAGCUGGUUUCCAGAGGACGACCAGCCACACUGGGACUGAGACACGGCCCAGACUCCUACGGGAGGCAGCAGUGGGGAAUUUUGGACAAUGGGGAAACCCCGAUCCAGCCAUCCCUGGGCGUGUGCGAUGAAGGCCUCUUGUCAGUAAAAGCACUUUGGCAGGAAAGAAACGGCACGGGAUAAUACCCCGUGCAACUGACGGUACCUGCAGAAUAAGCACCGGCUAACUACGCCAGCAGCCGCGGUAAUACGUAGGGUGCAAGCGUUAAUCGGAAUUACUGGGCGUAAAAGCGCAGGCGGUUCGGAAAAAGAAAGAUGUGAAAUCCCAGAGCUUAACUUUUGAACCGUACUUAACUACCGAGCUAGAGUGUGUCAGAGGGAGAAUUCGCGUGUAGCAGUGAAAUGCGUAGAUAUGCGGAGGAACACCGAUGGCGAAGGCAGCUCUCUGGGAUAACACUGACGCUCAUGCACGAAAGCGUGGGGAGCCGUGUCGAACAGGAUUGGGAGCCACCCUGGUAGUCCACGCCCUAAACGAUGUCAACUAGCUGCCGGGGCCUUCGCCUUGGUAGCGCAGCUAACGCGUGAAGUUGACCGCUCAGAGCAUGGUCGCAAGAUUAAAACUCAAAGGAAUUGGACGGGGACCCGCACAAGCGCCGGGGAUGAUGCGAUUAAUUCGAUGCACCCGAAAAACCUUACCUACCCUUGACAUGUUCAAAUCCUGAAGAGAUUUGGGAGUGCUCGCAAGAGAACCGGAACACAGGUGCUGCAUGGCUGUCGUCAGCUCGUGUCGUGAGAUGUUGGGUUAAGUCCGCAACGAGCGCAACCCUUGUCAUUAGUUGCUACGAAAGCGGGCACUCUAUCGAGACUGCCGGUGAGCAAACCGGAGGAAGGUGGGGGAUGACGUCGCGUCCUCGCUGGCCCCAUGGGUAACAUCAAACAUACAAUGGUCGGGACAGGGUCGCCAACCCGCGAGUGGGAGCUAAUCCCAGAAACCUGAUCGUAGUCCGGAUCGUAGUCUGCAACUCGACUGCGUGAAGUCGGAAUCGCUAGUAAUCGCGGAUCAGCAUGUCGCGGUGAAUACGUUCCCGGGUCUUGUACACACCGCCCGUCACACCAUGGGGAGUGGGUUUUACCAGAAGUAGUUGGUUUAACCGUAAGGAGGGCGAUUACCACGGUAGGUUUCAUGACUGGGGUGAAGUCGUAACAAGGUAG